AUUGAACGCUGGCGGCAGGCCUAACACAUGCAAGUCGAGCGAGCGGCGGACGGGUGAGUAAUGUCUGGGAAACUGCCUGAUGGAGGGGGAUAACUACUGGAAACGGUAGCUAAUAACGCAUACCAUCAGAUGUGCCCAGAUGGGCUUAGCUAGGAGGUGGGGGAAUGGCUCACCUAGGCGACGAUCCCUAGCUGGUCUGAGAGGAUGACCAGCCACACUGUAACUGAGACACGGUCCAGACUCCUACGGGAGGCAGCAGUGGGGAAUAUUGCACAAUGGGCGCAAGCCUGAUGCAGCCAUGCCGCGUGUAUGAAGAAGGCCUUCGGGUUGUAAAGCACUUUCAGCGGGGAGGCGUUACUCGCAGAAGAAGCACCGGCUAACUCCGUGCCAGCAGCCGCGGUAAUAC
rnacentral:rRNA from 1 species